rnacentral:rRNA from 1 species
GACGAACGCUGGCGGCGUGCUUAACACAUGCAAGUCGAACGGAAAGGCCCUGCUUUUGUGGGGUGCUCGAGUGGCGAACGGGUGAGUAACACGUGAGUAACCUGCCCUUGACUUUGGUAUAACUUCAGGAAACUGGGGCUAAUACCGGAUAGGAGCUCCUGCUGCAUGGUGGGGGUUGGAAAGUUUCGGCGGUUGGGGAUGGACUCGCGGCUUAUCAGCUUGUUGGUGGGGUAGUGGCUUACCAAGGCUUUGACGGGUAGCCGGCCUGAGAGGGUGACCGGCGACAUUGGGACUGAGAUACGGCCCAGACUCCUACGGGAGGCAGCAGGGGGGAAUAUUGCACAAUGGGCGGAAGCCUGAUGCAGAAACGCCGCGUGCGGGAUGACGGCCUUCGGGUUGUAAACAGCUUUCGCCUGUGACGAAGCGUGAGUGACGGUAAUGGGUAAAGAAGCACCGGCUAACUACGUG